GCUAAGUGUAAGUUAGGACUAUGCCCUCUGUAGAGAGCAUGUGGAGCAGCUUGGGUACAGGUCUGGUUUGCAGCAGUGCUUCUUUACCUUUCCCUGGUAAAAGUGUCUCAAAGUAGUUUCAAUGACAUGAAUGGAGCUGAAGUGAUGUACAAGUCUGGGCAGAAUCCUCUCUCAACUCAGAAUUUCUCCCCAGUUCUUCACAGAGAUCAGCGUGAACAGCAACCUGGAUGUGUCUUGUCUGUGAUUGUUGGCUCGAGAGGACCAGGACUGCACUCUGGGAACACUGUAAAGUCUAGAUUUUCUUCUUUUUCCUCUUGCAUGUAAUAAAUAAUCUUUUAAGAAACUGUUGAGAAGGAUGUGGAAUGAGACUAAAAUCCUUCUCUCUUCCAAACCCCACCCCCCCAGUAUAUGUAAG
rnacentral:lncRNA from 14 species